rnacentral:rRNA from 1 species
AACGAACGCUGGCGGCAUGCCUAACACAUGCAAGUCGAACGAGACCUUCGGGUCUAGUGGCGCACGGGUGCGUAACGCGUGGGAACCUGCCCUUAGGUUCGGAAUAACUCCCCGAAAGGGGUGCUAAUACCGGAUAAUGUCUUCGGACCAAAGAUUUAUCGCCUUUGGUUGGGCCCGCGUUGGAUUAGCUAGUUGGUAGGGUAAAAGCCUACCAAGGCGACGAUCCAUAGCUGGUCUGAGAGGAUGAUCAGCCACACUGGGACUGAGACACGGCCCAGACUCCUACGGGAGGCAGCAGUGGGGAAUAUUAGAAAGUGAGCGAAAGCAUGAUCCAGCAAGGCCGCGUGAGUGAUGAAAGCCUUAGGGUUGUAAAGCUCUUUGACCCGGGAUGAUAAUGACAGUACCGGGAGAAUAAGCACCGGCUAACUCCGUG